UAGCCAGACCAAGGAGACUGGUUAUUCUGAGCUAUGUUUCCUGUCUUGUCUGUUCUGCAGGAGAUCUGAUGCUUUGCCCUGUGUUGUAGCUGUUGUGUUCAAUAUUGUAAUCUGCUGUGGGGUGUUCAGACACCAUCGCCUGGCUCCAAACCUGAAGGAAGAGUUGAGUGGCUGAGACACUUGAAAGUGGCCUUGGACACCCUGAUCAGCUACCCUAGAUUGCAUAAAUGCUACACUCAGAAGUUCUCAUAACCCAAUGAGUCCAUUAUGGAAUUAUAUCUUUAGCUCACGUGCAAAACUAAUCAUAUGACGAAUGUUCAUGAUGCAGUUGAUUAAAAACAACAACG